rnacentral:rRNA from 1 species
AUUGAACGCUGGCGGCAUGCCUUACACAUGCAAGUCGAACGGCAGCACGGGAGCAAUCCUGGUGGCGAGUGGCGAACGGGUGAGUAAUAUAUCGGAACGUGCCCAGUAGUGUGGGAUAGCCCGGCGAAAGCCGGAUUAAUACCGCAUACGACCUAAGGGUGAAAGGGGGGGAUCGCAAGACCUCUCGCUAUUGGAGCGGCCGAUGUCAGAUUAGGUAGGUGGUGGGGUAAAGGCCCACCAAGCCAACGAUCUGUAGCUGGUCUGAGAGGACGAUCAGCCACACUGGGACGGAGAGACGGCCCAGACUCCUACGGGAGGCAGCAGUGGGGAAUUUUGGACAAUGGGGGAAACCCUGAUCCAGCCAUGCCGCGUGCGGGAAGAAGGCCUUCGGGUUGUAAACCGCUUUUGUCAGGGAAGAAGAGCUCUAGGAUAAUACCUUGGAGUAAUGACGGUACCUGAAGAAUAAGCACCGGCUAACUACGUGCCAGCAGCCGCCGUAA